GGGUUGUAAACUUCUUUUAUAAAGGAAUAAAGUCGGGUAUGCAUACCCGUUUGCAUGUACUUUAUGAAUAAGGAUCGGCUAACUCCGUGCCAGCAGCCGCGGUAAUACGGAGGAUCCGAGCGUUAUCCGGAUUUAUUGGGUUUAAAGGGAGCGUAGAUGGAUGUUUAAGUCAGUUGUGAAAGUUUGCGGCUCAACCGUAAAAUUGCAGUUGAUACUGGAUAUCUUGAGUGCAGUUGAGGCAGGCGGAAUUCGUGGUGUAGCGGUGAAAUGCUUAGAUAUCACGAAGAACUCCGAUUGCGAAGGCAGCCUGCUAAGCUGCAACUGACAUUGAGGCUCGAAAGUGUGGGUAUCAAACAGGAUUAGAUACCCUGGUAGUCCACACGGUAAACGAUGAAUACUCGCUGUUUGCGAUAUACAGCAAGCGGCCAAGCGAAAGCGUUAAGUAUUCCACCUGGGGAGUA
rnacentral:rRNA from 1 species